GUCCUGCGGGGAGCUACACUGCAGGAGUCAGUCAGUGGCACCUGCCAGGUCGCCUUCCUUACAGUAAGAGCAUCAUGUCCAGCAGCUCUUGAGGGCGCACCCACCAGCUCGCUGGGCUCAUCUCAGGGCAGGCCACAGGAAGAACACUGGGUAGCAUUUCUGCCAACUUUGUAGCUUGCUGUUCAGAAGGUGGUGAGCUUCAGGACCAAGAAAGGGAUGGAUCUGCCAAGCUGUUGACUACUUAAUCACAAGUCAGAAGGAUUCGGCAUGAUGCUGCUAUUUAGACCAAUUCUGUUCUUAAAAUGGAUUGAAGACACUCCAUUUUAUUUACCAUGAAGCGGUUCUACAUAUUAAGACCUGUGAUGAAAAGCACUGGGGUCAGCUUGCUCUAGACGCCAGGACCCACUGAAGCCAGAGAGAAGCUCUUGGUGUGUUGUGAUUCCCCCCCCAAAGAGGACACUCACUGCAACCAGGUUGGCCUCAGCAGGGGAUCUGGGUCUGAGGAAGAUCAGCUUACACCCUCCACUCACUGAGUGCUCCAAACAUCCCCCUGAACGGAUGACGAGGAAGGAUGUUCUGAGGCGCUUUCUGUGGCGGAAAACUGCUGGAACAGAACAGAAUGCUAGUGUCACUGAACGAUGUGCAAGCUUUUCUUCUGUGUUUCCCUCUGCACCACAGGCUCUCGGGGAGAAAUGCUACAGUGUCCCAACCAGGCAGACGAAGAAUUCAAAGGAAAAGUAACUGUUAACAAAUUCUAGAACAUUCAGCUUCUAGAACAUGCCCAAGCUUAAAGUUUUUUUUAAUAAAAAUAAACACAUUUCACUUCA